CGGCGAUAUGUACACAUCUGAGAGCCAGUUCACCUCUUUAUAUUUAAAGAAAUUACUAUCAAAUCCUAUUUUACCUGAAGAUUCUCCUCAAGUUCCACUUAUUCUUUAAUUGUAACCAACCUACACCCUAAAAUGCCACACCAAAUCUGACAUUAUUGUUACCUUAAAAUACUCGUAUCAAAGAUAUUUAGAUGACGGGUUAUGAACCCAAUAGGGCAAGAUGCAACGCGUAAAUACGAUUCUGAGGCAGGUUCCUCUAAGUGGAUCAGAUGCCGCCAAGUCCUCUGGGUUUUAAGAAAAAUACUAUUACUACCCCACCUCAGAAAGCUCCCAAAUAAUAGGGUAUCU
rnacentral:rRNA from 1 species